rnacentral:rRNA from 1 species
CAGCAGCCGCGGUAAUACGUAGGUCCCGAGCGUUGUCCGGAUUUAUUGGGCGUAAAGGGAGCGCAGGCGGUUUAGUAAGUCUGAAGUUAAAGGCAUUGGCUCAACCAAUGUAUGCUUUGGAAACUGUUAGACUUGAGUGCAGAAGAGGAGAGUGGAAUUCCACGUGUAGCGGUGAAAUGCGUAGAGAUGUGGAGGAACACCAGUGGCGAAGGCGACUCUCUGGUCUGUAACUGACGCUGAGGAGCGAAAGCGUGGGGAGCGAACAGGAUUAGAUACCCCAGUAGUCCCUGUCUCUUAUACA